rnacentral:rRNA from 1 species
UACGUAGGGGGCAAGCGUUGUCCGGAAUCAUUGGGCGUAAAGAGCGCGUAGGCGGCCCGAUAAGUCCGCUGUGAAAGUCAAGGGCUCAACCCUUGAAUGCCGGUGGAUACUGUCGGGCUAGAGUCCGGAAGAGGCGAGUGGAAUUCCUGGGUGUAGCGGUGAAAUGCGCAGAUAUCAGGAGGAACACCAAUGGCGAAGGCAGCUCGCUGGGACGGUACUGACGCUGAGGCGCGAAAGCGUGGGGAGCGAACAGG